GUCUUUUUGGUUUAUAUAAAAGGUUUAACCUGCCCAUUGAUAAAUUAAAAGGCUGCGGUAUUUUGACCGUACAAAGGUAGCAUAAUCAUUAGUUUUUUAAUUGAAAACUUGUAUGAAUGGUUGAAUGAGAUAUUAACUUUUUUAAUUAAAUUUUUUGAAUUUUACUUUUUAAUUAAAAGGUUAAAAUAGAAUUAAAAGACGAGAAGACCCUAUAGAGUUUUAUAUUUAUUAUUAUAUAUUUAAUAAAGGAUAUUAAUUAUUAUAUUUUAUAAAGUAUUUUGUUGGGGUGAUAAUAAAAUUUAAUAAACUUUUAUUUUAAAUUAACAUUAAUAUAUGAAAAUUUGAUCCAUUAUUAAUGAUUAUAAAAUUAAAUUACCUUAGGGAUAACAGCGUAAUUUUUUUUUAAGUUCUUAUUAAUAAAAAAUUUUGCGACCUCGAUGUUGGAUUAAGGUUUAAUUUUAGGUGCAGAAGUUUAAAAUUUAAGUCUGUUCGACUUUUUAAUCCUU
rnacentral:rRNA from 1 species